UGGGGAAUUUUGGACAAUGGGCGAAAGCCUGAUCCAGCAAUGCCGCGUGUGUGAAGAAGGCCUUCGGGUUGUAAAGCACUUUUGUCCGGAAAGAAAUCCUUGGCUCUAAUACAGUCGGGGGAUGACGGUACCGGAAGAAUAAGCACCGGCUAACUACGUGCCAGCAGCCGCGGUAAUACGUAGGGUGCAAGCGUUAAUCGGAAUUACUGGGCGUAAAGCGUGCGCAGGCGGUUUGCUAAGACCGAUGUGAAAUCCCCGGGCUCAACCUGGGAACUGCAUUGGUGACUGGCAGGCUAGAGUAUGGCAGAGGGGGGUAGAAUUCCACGUGUAGCAGUGAAAUGCGUAGAGAUGUGGAGGAAUACCGAUGGCGAAGGCAGCCCCCUGGGCCAAUACUGACGCUCAUGCACGAAAGCGUGGGGAGCAAACAGGAUUAGAUACCCUGGUAGUCCACGCCCUAAACGAUGUCAACUAGUUGUUGGGGAUUCAUUUCCUUAGUAACGUAGCUAACGCGUGAAGUUGACCGCCUGGGGAGUACGGUCGCAAGAUUAAAACUAAAUGAAUUGACGGGGUCAUAGCUG
rnacentral:rRNA from 1 species